CCCAGACUCCUACGGGAGGCAGCAGUGGGGAAUAUUGCACAAUGGGGGAAACCCUGAUGCAGCGACGCCGCGUGAGUGAAGAAGUAAUUCGUUAUGUAAAGCUCUCUCAGCAGGGAAGAAAAUGACGGUACCUGAGUAAGAAGCCCCGGCUAACUACGUGCCAGCAGCCGCGGUAAUACGUAGGGGGCAAGCGUUAUCCGGAUUUACUGGGUGUAAAGGGAGCGUAGACGGCAGUGCAAGUCUGGAGUGAAAGGCGGGGGCUCAACCCCCGGACUGCUCUGGAAACUGUACGGCUGGAGUGCAGGAGAGGUAAGUGGAAUUCCUAGUGUAGCGGUGAAAUGCGUAGAGAUUAGGAAGAACACCAGUGGCGAAGGCGAUUCUCUGGACUGUAACUGACGCUGAGGCUCGAAAGCGUGGGGAGCAAACAGGAUUAGAUACCCGAGUAC
rnacentral:rRNA from 1 species